UACGUAGGGGGCAAGCGUUAUCCGGAUUUACUGGGUUUAAAGGGUGCGUAGGUGGUUUGACAAGUUAGUAGCGUAAUUCCGGGGCUCAACUUCGGAACUACUACUAAAACUGUUGGGCUUGAGUGCAGGAGAGGUGAAUGGAAUUCCUAGUGUAGCGGUGGAAUGCGUAGAUAUUAGGAGGAACACCAGCGGCGAAAGCGAUUCACUGGACUGUAACUGACACUGAGGCACGAAAGCGUGGGGAGCAAACAGG
rnacentral:rRNA from 1 species